GGAAGAGCUCAAAUUUGAAAUCUGGUAGCCUUCGGUUGCCCGAGUUGUAAUCUAGAGAAGUGUUUUCCGUGCCGGCCCAUGUACAAGUCCCUUGGAACAGGGCGUCAUAGAGGGUGAGAAUCCCGUCCUUGACAUGGACCCCCGGUGCUUUGUGAUACACUUUCAACGAGUCGAGUUGUUUGGGAAUGCAGCUCAAAAUGGGUGGUGAAUUCCAUCUAAAGCUAAAUAUUGGCGAGAGACCGAUAGCGAACAAGUACCGUGAGGGAAAGAUGAAAAGCACUUUGGAAAGAGAGUUAAACAGUACGUGAAAUUGUUGAAAGGGAAACGAUUGAAGUCAGUCAUGCUCUUAGGAUUCAGCCGUUCUGCGGUGUAUUUCCUUUGAGUGGGGUCAACAUCAGUUUUGAUCGAUGGAUAAAGGCACGAGGAAGGUAGCACUCUCGGGUGAACUUAUAGCCUCGCGUCAUAUACAUUGAUUGGGACUGAGGAACGCAGCAUGCCUUUAUGGCCGGGAUUCGUCCACGUACAUGCUUAGGAUGUUGACAUAAUGGCUUUAAACGACCCGUCUU
rnacentral:rRNA from 1 species